rnacentral:rRNA from 1 species
GUUUACGGCCAUGCCACCCUGAAUAAGCCCGAUGUCUGAUCUCAGAAGCUAAGCAGGGUCGGGCCUGGUUAGUACUUAGAUGGUACUGUAGUACUGUAGGCA